UACGUAGGGGGCAAGCGUUGUCCGGAUUUAUUGGGCGUAAAGAGCGUGUAGGCGGCCAUACAGGUCAGCUGUGAAAACUCGAGGCUCAACCUCGAGACGUCGGUUGAAACCGUAUGGCUAGAGUCCGGAAGAGGAGAGUGGAAUUCCCGGUGUAGCGGUGAAAUGCGCAGAUAUCGGAAGGAACACCAGUGGCGAAAGCGGCUUCCUGGUCCAGCACCGACAUUCAGGCACGAAAGCGUGGGGAGCAAACAGG
rnacentral:rRNA from 1 species